rfam:Glycine max cultivar Williams 82 chromosome 15, whole genome shotgun sequence.
UUAACAAGUGAUGAUGACUCUCACGUGUCAUAUUCUGAUUGGAUGUCAACUUAAUGAAAGAUGAAAUGCAUUAUUGUUAUCAUUGACCAAUCAGAACAUGACACGUGGUAGUCAUGAUUC